GCUAAAGAUUUUCAUAAAACAUAUCGUUUAUUUUUUUUUAACAAACAGACGAGGAACUGUAAUGCACAUCUAAAUGGACAUAGCACCCAUUGUUAAGUUUCCAAAGCAUACACGACAAAAAAGUAAUAUAUUAGCAGAUCCUUAAGCAUGCAUUUUAAUUUGAUUUUUAAAUUAUAACCAUAUAUAUGUAUUAUUGCAUUAUAUAUUUUAAGUGUACAAAAACUUUGCAAACAUUGCUGCUCUCUGCUUCAUGCAGAAACUAGCCUGUUGUUUUUCAGUCGUUAAAGCGCAUGGUCUGACUCACAGAUCAAUCUGAAAGAAGCACGUGCCUUUCAUCUGGACCUCAGGAAGGAAACUAUUUGGAGUUACUAAUAGGGAUCUAGAGCUGUCAUUUCAAAAAGCUUUAAGACUCUGAAAUACCCUUUUGUUGCUCUGCAUCUCUGAAGCAACAACAAAAGCCAGUGAUAAACCGAAAGCUUUCACCUCCUCAACGUCUGCUGCCAUAGGCAACACAGCAGAGGGAAUAAAGCAGAGCUAACGAUCAGUAACCAUGCUAACGACCUGCAAUCACAACGAUAACAGAUUGACGAGUUUCGUUAGGGAUAGAAAAGGAACAGAAUACAAAGCAACUACAGUACACUUCCCGAAUGAUGGGGAGACAACAUAUUUUCAUUUUACAAAGCUGUGUUUUUUUGUGACUUUACAAUUUCUAUGACUGUUCCAUUAACGUAAUGUUAAACUGUGAUUGAUCUUAUAUGACAGUGUGUAAGCUACUACUGCUUUACGCCUAAGAUUUCUUCUGGUAGUCCAGCAUUACACUAAUAUUGUCUUCAGGUUAUUUUCUGCUUUAUACAGAAUGUAGUGUAAGGUGAUGUCAUCAUUUUAUGAAGCCUGUUUAUAGAUCAUGUUAACUGCGCCUACAACUAUUAAUCCGUUGUAUGUUUGGCUGUGAUUUAUGAAUGAUUAGCUGCACCCAAAUACUUGUGAAUAGAUUGCCAUUGUGUAUAAAUCAUGGAAGGUUAAGGGUUGCAUAUCAUUCUCUUUGUAAGAAGAACAGCUCAUACAAAGUGUGUCCUAGUUUUGUAACGCUGGGCCAGUCUGUUGACUCCAAAGAAUGAAACAUAUCCCUAUAUCUCAGUGACCUUCUCUUGAAAGAGGACUAAAUGUUCAGCUCACAUUCCUGAGAUAAUCGAAACUGCAGGCUGAGAGAAUAUUGUUUAUGUUUGUUUUGCCAAGUGCACUUUAUCUGCGUAAUUGCUUUUCAGAUUUAAUGAGCUAACACUUAAAUGACGUAAUGCAUCUGAUAAAGUUAAUAUAA